rnacentral:lncRNA from 1 species
UAAACUAUAGCAAAAGAAUAUAAAAUAAAGCCAAACAUUGAAUAACCAUGAGAUAAAUGUUUUGUAUGAUUAUAUUGUAGCCCUUCCAAUGAGUCGAUUGUUGUUGUUUUAUGAUCUUGUGGUUGUAGUAUGGGUAUUGAGAAACAUUAGAUAACAUGGGUAUUGAGAAACAUUAAAUAACAUGUAUGUUGCUAUUAUGAUCGUAGAUAUAUGAAUAAUUUUAUUGUCAUUUUGUAUCCGGGG